CAACCUCAGGACCCCAACCUCAGGAUCCCGUGCGGGCGGCCUGGCUCGCAGGCGGGGCUGAGGGAGGACGCGGCCCUCCUGUGCUGGCCGGAUCCCCCGGCGCCUCCACUUGGGCACGGACUCGGGACUCGUCGUGGGAUUUCGAGGGAGGGGAGAUUUUAGGUGACAGCUGUCAUUCCACCAAGAGCUCCCUAGGGCAGCAUGCCAGCCCAGUGCUGGGUGCUGGGGAACAGAAACUAAACAGCCACCAGCAGCACUCCGUGGGGGAGGGGCUUUGACCCAUUCCACGAGGGCAUCACAGGGCAGCGAUGCCAGUCUGGAGUCCUGGGUAUUUGGACGAGGAAGGAGAGAAUCCUAUGGAAGGUGGAGCAGAAGUUUGUGCUUUUUCAGAGAAGGUUCUGCACCCGAGAUGAGGGCCUCCCUUGCCUCCCCCUGGCUCAGCCCUGUUGGGGGUAGGUGGGGAGUGCCUGGGCUGCAGCCAGAGGAUGGGGACAACCUCACAAGGAAACUUCCUGACUCCAUCUGGUGGUGUUCAUUCACCCACCUGCCCACCCUCCCUCCAUCUUCCACUGUCCAUUCUUCCAUCCAUCCCUCCAUCGCCCAUCCAUCUGUCCAUAUGCACAGCGCUUAAGAACUUGCAUUCUGCAUUUAUGGCCUGAGUUUGCAUCCUGGCUGCCCAUCUUGGUGACCUGUGACGUCCAUUCAACACCCACACUUCCCGUUUGAUGUAUUUUUACACUUAAAAAUUAUUCAUAUAAUACUUGAAUACAUUGUUUAAAAAUCAUCUAUUAAUCUCUAAUCUUCACAGACAUUCAGUGAGAUAGAUGUGAUCAUCCCCAUUUUAUAAUGAGGAGCUGAGGCCCGGAGGGUAAGGUGUCCUGUCCAAGGUUCCAUGGUCUAUGAGUGAUAGCAACGUGAGACCUGAGAGUCUAGGUCACAAAGCCGGCCACGUCCGUCUUCCCCCGUCACUGCGUCUCCUGAGGGUGGAGCGAGGUCCAGAGGGCCCUGGAGAGCCCGUCGGACGGCAGACAAUCCACAGAUGAUUCUAUGCACGUGAUGAGUUCUGGGAACAGGUGUGAACAGGUAAUGAUGGAUUCUCGGUGGGGAGAACCCGUGAAGGGGGCACGGAGGAGGGUGUUGUGUGAGUUGGCUUGGAAGAGAGAAGGCCGACGAAGGAAGGGCCUCAAGUGGUGGGAACAGCAUGUGCAAACUGCAGCAGUGGAGACUGAGCGGGUGACAUCUAGGCACAUCCUGGGCUGGAGCACUUGCUGUUAGGGACAGAAAGGAAGCAGCCUUGGCGGGAAAUUCCUCUUGUACCGGACGCCACAGAAGGGCAUUCACAUCCCUUGUCUCAAGGGCGGCUCACCACACCCCUGCCAGGUGGCUGUUGUGAUCCCGUUUCAGUGACGAGUGAGGCUGAGCCUCAGAGAGUUUCCGUGAUACCCCCGGGUCACACAGCCAGACGGCGGGGAGCUAGCAGCCAGCCCCAGCUCUGACGUGCACUUUAGAAAGGUCACUCUCACUGUCAUGUGAAAGAAGGACUUGGUAAGACAGAGAAAAGCAGAGAGACUCAAAUGAUCUUCACAAGGGGGCCAAGAGCAUUCAGUGCGGGAAAGGGCUGUCUUUUCAAUGAGUGGUGCUGGGAAAACCGGAUCUCCACAUGUGAAAGGAGGAAGUUAGUCCCUACCUCACGCCGUACACAAAACUUCACUCAAAAUGGAUCAGGGACCUAAGUGUAAGGCCUAAAACAGUAAAACUCUUAGAAGAAAACACAGGACCAAAGAUUCAUGAUGCUGGAUUUGGUGAUGAUUCCUUGCAUAAGACUCCAAAGGGACAGGUAACAAAAGGAAAAAUAGACAAAUUGGACUUCAUGAAAAUUUAAAAAUUUUGUGCAUUAAAAAUUACUGUCAACAGAGUAAAAAGGUAACUCCCAGAAUGGGAGAAAAUAUUUACAAAUCAUAUAUCUGAUAAGGAAUUAAUAUCCAGAACAUACAGAGAAGUAAAACUCAACAACAACAAAAAACCCAAAUCAAAAAUGGGCAAAUGACUUGAAUUGACGUUUUUCUAAAGAAGACAUGCAAAUGGCCGAUAAGCACAUGAGAGAUGAUCAACACCACUGAUCAUGAGGGAGAUGCAAAUCAAAACCGCAGUGAGUACCACCUCACACCCAUCAGGAUGGCUGUUAUAUUAAAAAGCAAACAAAUGGAAAAUAAGAAGUGUUGGUGAGGAUGUGGACAGACUGGAACCCUCGUGCACCUUUGGUGGGAAUGGAAAAAGGUACAGCUGCUCUGGAAAACCGUGUGGUGGUUCCUCAAAAAGUUAAAAAUAGAGUUACUAUAUGACCCAGAAAUUCCACCUCUGGGUAUACACCCAGAAGAACGGAAAACAGUCUCGAACAGAUAUUUGCACACCCAUGCGCACAGCAGCAUUAUUCACAACAGCCAAAAUGCGGAAGUAACCCAAGUGCCCGUCAACAGAUGAGCGGAUAAACAAAAUGGGGCACAUCCAUACCAUGGAAUAUUAUUCGGCCCUAAAAAGGAGGGGAAUUCUGACACGUGCCACAACACAGAUGAGCCCUGAGGACAUUAGGCUGAGUGAAGUAAGCCACAAAAGGACAAAUAGCGUAUGAUUCUCUUUAUAUGAGGUCCCUACAGUAGUCAGACUCAUAGAGACAGAAAGUAGGAGGGUGGUUGCCAGGGCCUGGUGGAGGGGGAUGCGGAGUGACCGUUUAAGGGGCACAGUUUCAGUUUUACAAGAUGAAAAGAGCUGUGGGGGGAGGUGCUGGUUGUAAAACAUGAUGACGGUGCUUAAUACCACGGAACUAUGCACUUAAAAAUGGUCAAGGCGGUAAAUUUGAUGUUCUCUGUACCCACAACAUAGUGUACACAUAGAGACACAACAGAGUGUGAUGGAUUCACGGAUCUGGAGCCCCACAGCAGGAUGCAGAAACGUAGCUGGGCGUCAUCGACGUGCAGGUGACCACAAGGGCACGAUCUCCACGAGCUUGCUCAUGGACGCUUUGAGGAGAGAAGAGGGCUGAGGUCAGAUCCCUCUAGAGCUCAGCGGUAUGGGGUCCAAGCUGGAGGAAGGGCCCGGAGAUGAGGAUGAGGUCAGGGAGGUGGAGGGACGGGAGGAGAGUGUCAGGGAAGGCGAGGGAGGGGUCAGGAGGCACCUGGUCCCCCUCGUUCAGAGAGUCUUUGCUCCCUCCUGGGCCCAGCACCCCUCCACUUUCAGUCCGUGUGAUUUGUGGGGCUGACCCACCCCCAGCUCCAGGAAGCGGG
rnacentral:lncRNA from 1 species